rnacentral:sRNA from 1 species
GAGGCAGUCAUUGUAGGCUCAAGUCCUCUUUAUCUACAGGACUGUUACAGCAUAGGGAGUGGUGGCACAAGUUUCCACUGCACUGAUCUGUCAAGUUGUCUCAACCUCAACUCAGCAGGGUCACUUCUAGGAACAAGGAGAUAAUUCAGCCUCCGUGACCCUGUUCUGUUCUCAGCCUCU